rnacentral:rRNA from 1 species
AGGACGAACGCUGGCGGUGUGCUUCACACAUGCAAGUCGAACGGAGUAGCAAUACUCAGUGGCGGACGGGUGAGUAACACGUGGGAAUCUGCCUUUAGAUGGGGGAUAGCAGACCGAAAGGUCUAUUAAUACCGCAUAUGCCGAGAGGUGAAAGUAGCAAUACGUCUGAAGAUGAGCCCGCGCCCGAUUAGCUAGUUGGUAAGGUAAAAGCUUACCAAGGCUACGAUCGGUAGCUGGUCUGAGAGGAUGAUCAGCCACAAUGGAACUGAGACACGGUCCAUACUCCUACGGGAGGCAGCAGUGGGGAAUUUUACACAAUGGGCGAAAGCCUGAUGUAGCGACACCGCGUGAGCGAAGAAGCCUUUUGGGGUGUAAAGCUCUGUCAGCAGGGACGAAAAAAAUGACGGUACCUGCAGAGGAAGCAUCGGCUAACUACGUGCCAGCAGCC